rnacentral:rRNA from 1 species
CCUACGGGUGGCAGCAGUGAGGAAUAUUGGUCAAUGGGCGCGAGCCUGAACCAGCCAAGUAGCGUGAAGGAUGACUGCCCUACGGGUUGUAAACUUCUUUUAUAAAGGAAUAAAGUGAGGCACGUGUGCCUUUUUGUAUGUACUUUAUGAAUAAGGAUCGGCUAACUCCGUGCCAGCAGCCGCGGUAAUACGGAGGAUCCGAGCGUUAUCCGGAUUUAUUGGGUUUAAAGGGAGCGUAGACGGGUUGUUAAGUCAGUUGUGAAAGGUUGCGGCUCAACCGUAAAAUUGCAAUGGAUACUGGCAGACUUGAGUACAGGUGAGGUAGGCGGAAUUCGUAGUGUAGCGGUGAAAUGCUUAGAUAUCACGAAGAACUCCGAUUGCGAAGGCAGCUUACUAAACUGGAACUGACGUUGAUGCUCGAAAGUGUGGGUAUCAAACAGGAUUAGAUACCUCUGUAGUC